AUGGGGGAGGCGGCCCAGCUCCGGUGUGCGCGGGCCGCGGGGGCGGUCGCUGCCGACGGAGCUCCGCUCCUCGGUCACGCAGAGCGGUGGCCACGGGGACCUGGUGCCUCGUAAAGGGCUAGGGAGGAAAGCACCGAGUGGCCGGAUAAAUACGGGGGAGGAGAGGGGCGUCUCCCUCGCUCCCCACCCCUUCCAUCUCCCCCGCCGCGCACGGCGCGCUUGGAGCUCCUUCUGCUUGUCCGGGCGCCCGGAGCGGCUCCGCGCCCUAGUGCGGUGUGGUGCGGUGAGCGCAGACUGGGCGCGGGAGGCUGCUGCUGAAGGUGAAUCUCUCGCUCUCCAAUUACUUUUCCCAAGAGGGAGAAGGAGGCAGCAGGAGGGGGAAGUCGUGCUGUGUGUGGACCGCAACACCAAUCAGAGAUGCUCUAACGGAGGGACUGCUGCAGGACGCGCUUCUCCUCCUUCCUCUGUCGGCGGGGCUGAAUCGGGACCGCACGCAGCUGGCGGAGGGGCCGGAGGCACACUGGGCUGCAGGACUUCCUUAUCCUCCGCUUUUUCAAUAGCUCAACCAUACUUCGUCCUCUUUUAAUUUUUAUUUUUUUUUUUAAUACUCUGAAAUCGUGCACGAGAAACACUUCAAGUCUUCCCUCUCUUGUCAGUUCCUUCACCCUUCCUCUAGCAUCUCUUAACCGGAUUUCUGGUGUAUUGCCAGAGAGGCGGGGGGAGACUCGGGCCCCGCGGACGGCCGCUGCCCCAGCCCGGCCGAGCCGAAGGGAACGGAGCCGAGCGGAGCGGGCACGGCACCGCUCCGUGCCCCCGGGCGCUGGCGGGGCGCGGGGCGUGUGCCGGAGAUGCCCGGGCGGUAAAGCUGGAGCUCCCCUCGGACGGGAGGUGUCCGAUCAUUAGGCGUUUUUAGCAAGAAUCGGGACUGCAGAUACUGGGAAUUCAGGUGCCAUGUCUGGAGUUCUGGCUUACUUUGCUACAGUUCUUGUGGAAAACAAGAGAAACAUAAAGAUGAAUAAGAGAUACUUACAGAAGGCAACAAAAGGAAAACUGCUAAUAAUAAUAUUUGUUGUAACGCUGUGGGGGAAAUUAGCAUCUGGGGCAAAUCAUCAUAAAGCUCACCAUGUUAAAACUGGGACCUGUGAAGUGGUGGCACUUCACAGAUGUUGCAAUAAGAACAAGAUAGAAGAAAGAUCACAGACGGUGAAGUGCUCCUGCUUCCCUGGGCAGGUAGCAGGUACCACUCGGGCAGCUCCUUCUUGUGUUGAUGCUUCAAUCGUGGAGCAGAAAUGGUGGUGCCACAUGCAACCAUGUCUUGAAGGGGAGGAAUGUAAAGUUCUUCCAGAUCGUAAGGGGUGGAGCUGUUCCUCUGGGAAUAAAGUGAAAACAACUAGGUUGUCUUAUAUUCCCUCAGCCGUGGCAGUAUUCGUGGAGCCAAGUGUGAGUGUACUACCUCAAAAUGCCAGCAGUGGAAGCUGGUAAGCAAGUGGGGAAAAAUCACCAGAGGAAUCUCUGAAGCUUGGGACAAAGGCAAAAAACACAUCAGUACUGCACUAACAGAGCAGCAGGUACCCUUAUAGAGAAGGUAAAAUUACAGGUAAGGAAAUAAUUUACAUUUCUAUUUUGAUCUUAUCCACAUACCUUAUUACUCUUCCCUCAAAAUCCCAGGAAAAAGUACCCACAAAAAAUUUGAAGAAGUAUAAGAUCUCAGACAUGAUUAAUUUAGACUGCCUGAUUUUUUUAGUGGGGAUAAUGUGAAGUUCAAUCUUACCUAAUUUAUGGAAAAAUGUAUUAAAAUAUGAAAAUCCUUUAUACCUGUAAGGCAAUUUAAAACCUCAGUCUAGUUUUAAAACAAGGUUGGUUUUGUUUUUCUUUUUAAUUUGUUUUGCUUUUUCAUAUUUAGAAUAUAAACACAGCUUGUUAUAAGUUUUCCUUUCCAAACCAAAACAAGUGUAGGCUUAUUUUUUGGUAAGGGAAGUCAGAUAAAGCCAAAACCAGACAGACUCUGUUCCCAUCCCUCCAUCUCCUUUUACUUUCUUACAGUCGAAAGUGUAGCAUGACUCUUUAUUAUGCUUCAGUUUCCUCAUAUGGAGAAAGGAAGGAGGUUGUUUUAUCUCCCGCUUGGGAUAAUUAGGUGGAAUAAGUGGUAUAGAAGAGAAGUAAAUUUCAUUUAUUUAAUUAAUUGUCUUGCAGUCUUUUAUGCCGUCAUGCUGCAGUCCCUCUAUGGAGUUGUGAUCACUGCAAAAACCUCAAGAGGAUAUAUCCUUGUCUGAAUUGCUACAGUUAUUAUCUGUUACAGAAAGUAAAAUAAGGCAAAUGUGUAAAACUCCUCAAGGCCGAAUGGAGAAGUAGAGAAAGGAGGUUUCUGCUGUGCCUGAUGACAAUAUUUGUUUUUUCCACACAAAAAAUAUUCUGGCUCCACGUUGGAGCACUAGUUGUGAUGAAUCCUAGUCUUGGUCGGAUUCUAAGGAAGGGCCAGAACGUUCGUUGAGGAAUAAAGAGUCACACCACUCCAGAAAAUGUGUUCCAGCCCUCGUUUAUUACUCACAGAGCAGCAGGUCUUUAAUAUUUUAGAGAAGAAUGCUAGGGGUGCCAAGAUGGCUUUUCUUUGUCUCAUGAAAUUCCACUUAGCUCAGGGUAACCUGAUAGCUAAAGACAAAUCAAGUCACUAUCAAGGCUGAUAAAAUUAAAUACAACACGUGGGAAUUUCAUUCCUCCAGGCAAUCCUUGAAGUGAAAUUUUAUACUGCUGGAGUGUAUCCUUCAGAAUCAAUUGUUUCAAUGAGAAUCUAUCUUGUAAUCAGCAACAGCCUUGAGAUCAAAACUACUGGAAAGUCAUUUUGAACUUCUGUGUCACAAAGAUUUCAACUGAUUGAACUGUGUACACUUGUAAAAUUGCACUUGCUGAGGAAUUUGCAGCUGUAAUCAUGUGUUGAUACUCUAAGGGUGCAGAAAAGCAGCAAACUGUUGGAUUCUCCAUUGCAGACCAGUGGCUUUUCAUCUUGAUGAAGUCAACCUCCAAGUUGUAUUGGAUCCUUCCCUCUAAAAUGAUCCCUGGUCCACUUUCAGAUUGCUGGUGGUACUGCACAUUGCUUUAAUUAAAUUUCUGUUGCAGAAAUGGUCCUCUGGCAUGGCGCAGUUUUAGACAUUUUUAUUUGUGUUCAAAUCUUGCAGCUCUGAAAGAUACAUAUUUCAAUAUCUUGAAGUUGCUUUUGUUAUAGGAAUGGAAUUAUAUAUCCAUUGUUAAUAAUUAUUGUUGACAAGUAAUAGUUAUCUGAAUACACCAGUCAUAUUAGAUUGUAUAGUCAGGCUGACAUGUUUGCCUAAGGCUAAUCAGCCACUGCAACUUAACAGUUAAAAAAGUAGUGGUCAAAACUCAAUUACCACCUCCAUUAUAAAGCAUUUUAUACCUCUAAGAUAUAGAUUUCCAUUUAGUUUGAAGGAGAUGGGUGUUCCCAAUGUGUACUUUACUUUCCUAACCUUUAAUUGAUUUAAGUUCAUGGUAACCAGUCGAUGACGGUAUUUCAUCUUUUUUUUCUCAGGGUAGGCAGGGAUGUAAAUGAGUUUUGCAAUUAUGAAAUUGGAUGGUAAUCACUCAGAAUUUUUGUCUUUUUAUUAAAAAAUAAAAUCUCUUGCUUGAACCUAAGUACUGAUGGAUGCUUAUGUAGAUGUCUACUCAGUCUGUUUGCUAUAAAGGAAAAAAGUCCUAGUGCCCACCCAGAUUUAUACUUCAUGGGUAUUUUGCUUGCUUACAGUCAUCCAAUUCAGAUCUGAUCCUUUCCAAAAUUUCUUUUUUCUUUUUUUUGGUACUAAUUUUUUUUAACUUUGUGAUGUGCUGUUACAUGAAAAAAAUCCUCAAUAUUUAAAGGCCUUAAGCAUCUCUGAGCUUGUUUCUAAGUUAUUACAGAAUGUAUAAUUUUAUACUCCAUUUAAUAUAUAUUGUACCAUCUGUAAUGUUGAUACAACAGAAAUUUGGCAGUUCCUUUUAGAAACACUGCAUAAAGAAGCUGACCAGAGAGGGUAAGGGAAUUCUGACUUUAUGCUUUGGUGAAUUGACAUGAAAGCCACACACACAGUGGUAGUAAAAAGUAUGUAGAAGUAAGCUUAUGUGUGGUUACCAGAUUCACAAAAAAACCUAAAAACAAACCACAAACCAAACAAGCAAAAAACCCCCCAAAAGACAAAAAAACCAAAACAAGACAGAAGAGGGAAAAUAUUUUAUCAUUACAAGCCAUUGACAUGGCUAGUUUAGUUAUAUAUUAGGUUCCAUGAUAGAUGAACACCCUGGAGUGCUCUGCCUGUCACAGUAGCCCCUGUUGUUCCAAAACCAUUUCAUUACCUCUGCUGUAUUAUUGCACAGGAGAGCUUAAAUAAAAUAAAUGACUGUUGGGAAUAAAAUUGAGAAGUAUAUUCUAUCAUUCUGCUGAGAAGUAAUAAAAAAUUGUUGGCAGGAAAAGAUCUUAUUUUCUGAUUAAAAUUUAAUUAGAAUAAACUGUAGCAGCAACUAGGUAUCUCAGUAUUUUAGGAUGGAUUAGUAUUGUAUGGAUUUGUGCUAACAAGUUCAGGACAGAAGGUAGCAUCUUAAAGAGAUCGUCUGGGACAGUGCAAAAUAUAAAUGUGCUGUUUAUAGACUCUGAAUAUGGCCUCUCUUUGGCCAAAAAUCUAUAUCAUGCUUCUAACUAAAUGUUUUCUUUGUUUCCUUGUUCUUAAACCAAUACUGAAAGUACUGUAUUAUAUAGAAGUGUAACACAUGCAUAUCAAUAAAUAAAAAUAAAUGGAUUUUCAAAUAUAUUGAA